GCGCAUCUAUGCAUGCGCACCCGCCCACGUUUUCUCAUUCUCAGUAAACCUGUUGCACCCGCACUGUUCGGCCUUUUUUUCGGCAGUAUCUUUUUCAGCUUAUACACCGGUGUCUGACGAUAGUGUAUUUAGUUCAAGCCCCUUUUUGCUUGAAGAGGCUCCGGAGUCGCCUCCCCCAUAUGUAUGUAUUAUCGGAAUUUGUUUAAUUUGGCGUUAAUAUACGAGUUCCAUUUCAGAUGACUUUGCUGGAUCAAAUGAUUGGAUCAAUGUUUAGUUAUUAUUACUUGUACCCCUGUCAGACAUACUAAUUUAGUGUCACUUUCAGCGAGUACACUUGCAGUAAGUGUCAUUCUUUCGGAGUCACACGGCAUCUUUUAGUGAUACUAAAUGCAAAGUACACUUACGAUGAAGUGAGUUCGCCAAACUCACUUCACUUUGCCUGCGACAAUCAAGUACGUAGCCUCCACGGCAGGGAUUGCGUAACAAAAAGCUUAUUUUUGGAAAAGGAAAGAAACAACCCAAUCGGAAUUUAUUUUUGGACAAAUUUGUUAAGACAGCGCUGAUUUGUAUAAGAAAGACGUAAGGAUUUUUGGCGUGAUUUACCGGUACUCUCGUUCACAGACUGCCCAGUAGAGUUCGUAAUCCACUUCGCGUUAAGAGGACAUACCACCCCCUGUUUUCUAUGUGAACUUUGCAUAGGUUUUGUGGCUGAACUACGAGACAGAUCGGAUUGCGGACACUUUCAUUGGAAAGGUGACGUCAAGAUCUCUUAACUCUGGGAACUGAAAUAUCGCUCUAGCGUUGUAAUUUUUUUUACGAACCCCUGAAGGUGGGAACCCCUCUGUUUUCUAUGUGAACUUUGCAUAGGUUUUGUGGCUGAACUACGAGACAGAUCGGAAUGCGGAAACUUUCAUCGGAAAGGUGACAUCAAGAUAUCUUAACUCUGGGAACUGAAAUAUGGUUCUAGCGUUGUAAUUUGAAUAACGGAAGACAAAAACGACAGGGUCGUGGUCUGAGAUAGAAACCUAUGCUAUCAGAACAUGGGAGGACCAAGCGAAACGCGAAAGUGUAUGCUGACAUCGCGGGCCAGUUGCGCGCGCAAGACAUAGUAAACACCGCCAAAGAGCUGAAGAAGAAGAUUGAAAAUUUGUCAAAUAAAUAUACUUGUGUUGGUUCGCAACAAUUAUAUUUAUGACGUUCAAUCGACUUCAACUGCGAAGAAAAUCUUUAUGAAAUGUUUCUGGACGUAAGAAAAAUGCAAGAAAGCAUGGCGCACUCCCCGAUGUUAGGUGGGAGUUCAAGCUCGCCCAUCGUCAUCACCAUGACUGCUUAGUGACACUGCCGUGUAGCAGGAGCCUAGUGAAAGUGACAUUACGGGACGGAGUGCACUUCAAAUAAGUGACACUAAAUUAGUACGUCUGACAGGGGUAUUAGUAUAUUUUUCAGCUUAUACACCGGUACAGCGACCGACCCCUGAAUCAGGGGCGGAUCCAGGGGGGGGGGGCUGCCCCCCCCCCCCCCGAGACAUACCUCUACCCCCCAUUCCGGCAGAUUUUCCUGCUACAUGGCGAGCCCCCCCCCCCCCCCCGUCUUCUCUCUUUUUUCAGUGGGCCCCCCCCCCCCCCCCCGAGGAUCUUCCCUGGAUCCGCCCCUGCCCUGAAUAUAAUUGUAGUCCAACACCACAAUAUUAUCCAACAUUGGCUCCGAACAACUGUAUGUAUUAUUGAAUUUAUAAGAUGAUAUUAAUUUAGAUUCACUUAGAGAUUAUUGGGGUCCAGUACCACAGCCGCCGCCGCCACCGCAAUGUAUGUAUUAUUGAAUGUAUGAGAUGAUACUAAAUGAGAUUCUCUUUCAGAUUAUUGGGGUCCUGCGCUACCACCACCACCACAAUAUUACCAGACGUUGGCUCCGCAAUGUCAUUGCUGUGUCCAACAUGUCAACGACUUGAAGGAAGUUGUUAAGAAUACGAUAAUUAAUACAUUAACAGAAAUAUUAAAUGACGAAUAAAAGUGUAUUUCCUUUACAUGUACUGUCUAGCGUUUUGUUUCUUCUGUUUCAGGUGGUGAAGGUUUUCCGGCUGGGUUUUUCUCGUUCACCUGAUUGGCAUCACAAUUUGCAGCACUAUUGGCAUUACAAUUUGCACAAUUCCCAGCACUAUUGGCAUUACAAUUGGCUUUAAUAAAUAUAUUUCAA